rnacentral:rRNA from 1 species
GAUGAACGCUGGCGGCGUGCCUAAUACAUGCAAGUCGAGCGAACAGACGAGGAGCUUGCUCCUCUGACGUUAGCGGCGGACGGGUGAGUAACACGUGGAUAACCUACCUAUAAGACUGGGAUAACUUCGGGAAACCGGAGCUAAUACCGGAUAAUAUAUUGAACCGCAUGGUUCAAUAGUGAAAGACGGUUUUGCUGUCACUUAUAGAUGGAUCCGCGCCGCAUUAGCUAGUUGGUAAGGUAACGGCUUACCAAGGCAACGAUGCGUAGCCGACCUGAGAGGGUGAUCGGCCACACUGGAACUGAGACACGGUCCAGACUCCUACGGGAGGCAGCAGUAGGGAAUCUUCCGCAAUGGGCGAAAGCCUGACGGAGCAACGCCGCGUGAGUGAUGAAGGUCUUCGGAUCGUAAAACUCUGUUAUUAGGGAAGAACAAAUGUGUAAGCAACUAUGCACGUCUUGACGGUACCUAAUCAGAAAGCCACGGCUAACUACGUG